UGUAAUCGUCAAGCCUCUGGAUAACUGCACUGAAGAAUGGCACCUUGUCGAGGGCAACAAUGCCUUGAGGUGAACGUCCCUCCCUCUGAGAAAGGAGGGGGCGGGGUGCAAGAGACAAUGAGAAGACAUAAUGUAUAGUGCAAACAUAAUGGCGGAAAAAGAGACGGCAAGAUAAAAUAAAAAUAAUCUAAAAAACGCUUUCAGUAAAAGAAAUUUAUUGCGCCAAGGCAAGAAAAAAUAUUCCUGCGACCGACAGGAAUGACGCCUUGAUCAUGCGGGAAAUAAAGGAUGAAGCUCCAAGCCGAUCGCUUUGUUCCAAUGCAAUUGCCCAAAAUGCCGGGCCAUACAUAUGACGAGAUGCUCUCAACCGCUUGCCAGCGAAUCGUCUGCCAACCAGGAUUUGAAUAAAUGGGAUCCGGAAUCGUCGGAUGAGUGAGUUCCCUCUGGAUAGCCUCGAAGCAGCCGAGCUUCCUCCGACGAAGACGAAGGUAACUCGUUUGCAGCUGUUAGCUACAUUUCGCGAGCAAAUACGCUCCUUCAAUCCUUAUUGCAUAAAAACAUAAUUUAGUCCCACUAGUUCACAUUACAAUGUAACAUCUGUUGCCAGCACUGAUUUUGAAUUUUCCAUUUACAGCUCAUCCAUCUUCCAUCAGGAAUCCAAGACCUGCAAGUCGAACGUCUUUUAGUAUUGCGACGAAGAAAACUACGGCUAUGCAUCCAGCAAACGUUAAGACUCCCAUUCCAGUACGCAGUGCCGACUAAAAAGAGGUUGUGCUUCAAGGAGAAAUAGUGACUGGUUUCAAGGAGAAUGACAACCACACAAGAUCCCAAUCACUGCCAACAGAAGAAUAAAAUAAGAAGUGGAUAAAACUUUGCUAGAUUUUAUGCACAAGGUAAUAAAAACCUCGACUAUUGAACAAACGGUAGAGUAGGAGAAUUUGGAGGAAAAAAUUCCAAGUGUGGGAGCCCCAUUUGUUCAUGCAUAUUUAAUGUAAAUUCUGUACAGUUA